UGGGCCGUCGCCAAGCGGUAAGGCACAGGACUUUGACUCCUGCAUGCGAUGGUUCGAAUCCAUCCGGCCCAG
rnacentral:tRNA from 1 species